rnacentral:misc_RNA from 1 species
AAGUCGUAACAAGGUUUCCGUAGGUGAACCUGCGGAAGGAUCAUUAAAUAAUUUAGAUGGCCUUUGCUAGUUUUCUAGCGAAUGGUUCAUUCUUUUUUACUGUGAACUGUUUUAAUUUUUCAGCGUCUGAGGAAUGUCUUUUAGCCAUAGGGAUAGGCUACUAGAAUGUUAACCGAGCUGAAAGUCAGGCUUAGGCCUGGUAUCCUAUUAAUUAUUUACCUAAAGAAUUCAGUAUUAUAAUUGUAACAUAAGCGUAAAAAACUUAUAAAACAACUUUUAACAACGGAUCUCUUGGUUCUC